CUGGCUGGGGACUCUGCUGACAUAAUCUAAUGUUUUGCUUUCGUUGUAAAGCCUUUUUGAAAUCGGACAGUGUGGUUAGAUUAACGAGAGUCUUAUCUUUAACCUGUUGGGGCUCGGGGGCAGUAUUGAGAAAUUUUGAAAAAAAUAUGUGCCCAUUUUUAACUGCCUCCUACACCAACUCAGAAGCUAGGAUAUGCAUAUUAUUAACACAUUCGGAUAGAAAACACUCUGAAUUUUCUAAAACAGUUUGAAUGGUGUCUGUAAGUAUAACAAAACUCAUAUUGCAGGCAAAAACCUGUGAAAAAUAGAUUUAAAAAAAAAUGAAUUUUGUGACUGUACUAUUUAGUGUCAUUGUUUUAUAGAUACCAUAGUGAGAAAGGAUUCAUUUCGCAACUCCUACGGCUUCCACUAGAUGUCAACGAUCUUUAUAAAGUUGUUUGAAGCGUCUAUGAUAAACAGAGAGAAAAUUAGAAUGCAAGGAAGUUGACAUGUCGUCACUUCAUUUUUUUGCGCCUGCGCACAAAUCUGAGAAGCGUGAGUUUGUCAUAAUUGUUUAUCUAGACAUAGGAUAGGUUGUGUGAAAAUAUUACUGAUGUUUAACGUUAAAAAUGGACCAAAAGAUUAAUGCUAAACAACGUUUGACAUGUUUGAACGAACGUAAAUAGAUUAUUUACUAGGUUUUUUUUGCUUUUCGGCGUGAUUUUACACCCCCCCCCACCACGUUUUGUGGGAGCAUAAUGAACGCUAACAACUUGGUGUUAUUUGGACAUAAAUUAUGAACUUUGUCAAAAGAAACCACAUUUGUUCUGGACCUGCGAUUCCUGGCAGUGCCUUCUGAUGGAGAUAAUCAAAGUUCUGUUUCCUAGUUUUUACCGGAUCUGACCACUGAAUGCAAUGACCCUGAGCCUGCCUGCCUGCCAUCCUGUACCUACCUGACUCUGACCUGAUUACGAACCUCUGACUGCCCUGACCCCGAGCCUGCCUGCCGUCCUGUACAUGCCUGUCACGAUCGUCGUUGGUUAAGGAGGACCAAAGUGCCGCAGCUUGCGGGAUUUCUUCUUCAUCUGAAGAUGAUGCAUCAUGCUCUGGGUUGUAUUCUUCCCCGUCUUCUUCUUCAAAUACCUCCUCCUCUUCUAAAUCAUUGUUCUCUUGUUCCUCCUGGACAUCUGAAAAAAUCAGAUUGACGACCUGUAGGCACUGAAAUGUGCUCUCAUGGCUUCAGCAAAGAGAAAACGAUGGACUGUCAUCUGCAGCAACUUUAUAGCCUCUGACUGCAUUCCCCAAUAGUAAACAAUGCUUUCAGGAAAUGUUUAGUUUGUCUGAAAUGUUGUUUAUUUUGUCUGAAAUGUUGUUUAUUUUGUCUGUGAACUUGAGUCAUGUUUGGGGUCGUGGAGGGGAGAUGCUGCACAUGCACAAUACAUUUUAGUUUUGUCUUAGUUCAAUCAGUAGCACACAUAAUCUCAAUUUCUCGUGUGUGUGUGUGUGUGUGUGUGUGUGUGUGUGUGUGUGUGUGUGUGUGUGUGUGUGUGUGUGUGUGUGUGUGUGUGUGUGUGUGUGUGUGUGUGUGUGUGUGUGUGUGUGUGUGUGUGUGUGGGUAUCUUUGUGGUUUUUGUGGUGUGUAAACGAUUUUAUAACUGCCGGGUCCUGGUGGUGUACAGCUUCAUGGAAAUAUUAACAAAUGCGAUAUUUCACUUUUUUAACCUCUCUGGGCUACUCAACAGCCAGUGGAAUCCCGUGGCGCGAUAUUCAAAUACCUUAGAAAUGCUAUUACUUCAAUUUCUCAAACAUAUGACUAUUUU
rnacentral:lncRNA from 1 species